AAAAAGACAAACCAUGGGUUUCCGUUUCCAAUUUUGACUAUCCGUCUUAUAUGAAAUUUUUUUAUAAUUCGUAUUUUCAUUGUUGUUAGAUGAUAAAACAUGAUUAAUAUUUUAUGCGUGACUUGUCUUUUUAAAUUUUUUUUCAUAAUUUUCUCAAAUAAGACGGACGGUCAAACAGGCACGGAAACCAGGGUUUGUCUUUUU
rfam:Oryza nivara chromosome 7, whole genome shotgun sequence.